rnacentral:rRNA from 1 species
UACGUAGGUGGCUAGCGUUGUCCGGAUUUACUGGGCGUAAAGAGCGCGCAGGCGGUCGUUCAAGUCGAGUGUGAAAGCCCCCGGCUCAACUGGGGAGGGUCACUCGAUACUGAUCGACUUGAAGGCGGGAGAGGGAAGCGGAAUUCCCGGUGUAGUGGUGAAGUGCGUAGAUAUCGGGAGGAACACCCGUGGCGAAGGCGGUUCUCUGGGACGGUACUGACGCUGAGACGCGAAAGCGUGGGGAGCGAACAGG